UAAAAAAAUUUUCAUAGAAUAUAGAUAUCACAUAUUAAAUGUAGCACAAGACUCAAAGUGAAAUUCAAGAGUUCAAAGUGCUUCCAAUCUCUGCUUCAUUUGGACAAGGUACUUGAAGAUUUCUUUGGUUUCCCUUAGAAAGAUACCAAAUUCAUGUGCCAUGCUUUACUUCAUUUCAAUUUCAGUACUUUUUCAAAAUAUCUUGCCUUUAGAUUUGAAAACUCAAAUUUCGAAUUAUUAGCAUGUCCAUCUUAGGCUAGUUCUUUUCAGCUGUCUUUAAAAAAAUUUUUUGUUGUUUUUUUUUUUAGAGAUGGGAUCUUUCUCUGUUGCCCAGGCUGGGAGGCAGUGAUAUAAUCAUAGCUCAAUGCAGCCUCAAACUUCUGGGGUCAAGUUAGCUGGGACUAUAGGCACAUGCCACCAUGCCUGGCUAAUUUUUUUUUUUUUUUUUGGUAGAGAUGCCAUGUAAGCUGUUUUUGUGUCAGUAUAAACAAAUACCUGAGGCUGGCUAAUUUAUAAAGAAAAGAGGUUUAAUUGGCUCAUGGUUAUGCAGGCUGUACAGGAAGCAUGGUGAUGGCAUCUCCUCUUGGCCAGGGCCUCAGGUGAAAGCUUCAUGGUGAAAGGGGAACCAGCACAUCAUAUGGAAAGAGCAGGAGCGAGAGGUCAGGGGCAGUUGUCACUCACUGUUAAAGAACCAGAUCUUGUGUGAACUCAGAGCUAGAAAUCACUAAUCACCGCGGGGAUGACAUUAAGUUAUUCACGAGGAUCCACCUCCAUGAUCUAGACACCUCCCACCAGGCCUCACCUCCAACACUGGAGAUUACAUUUCAACAUGAGAUUUGGAGGGAACAAACAUCCAAACCAUAUUAGAUGGGGUCUCCUUUUGUUGCCCAGGCUAGUCUUGAACUUGUGGCUUCAAGUGAUCCUCCCACCUUGGCCUCCCAAAGUGCUAGGAUUAGGCAUAAGCUACCAUACUUGGCCCAAAAC
rnacentral:lncRNA from 1 species